rnacentral:sRNA from 1 species
GUCUCCGGAGCCUAGCUAAUACACCCAGAUCCAUACCCGGAGAUAAAAGUCUAGACAAUAGAUGGCUGUUUAUGACAACGAGGCUCUCCAAGUUUGGGGCUGGGCGAUAAAUCUCUGGCGAAUCUUCCUUCCUGUAACUCAACUUCUGGCUGUAGUGA